rnacentral:rRNA from 1 species
UGGCGACCGGCGCACGGGUGCGUAACGCGUAUGCAACCUACCCAUAACAGGGGGAUAACACUGAGAAAUUGGUACUAAUACCCCAUAACAUCAGGACCGGCAUCGGUUCUGGUUGAAAACUCUGGUGGUUAUGGAUGGGCAUGCGUUGUAUUAGCUGGUUGGUGAGGUAACGGCUCACCAAGGCAACGAUACAUAGGGGGACUGAGAGGUUAACCCCCCACAUUGGUACUGAGACACGGACCAA